rnacentral:snRNA from 1 species
AGAUGUGAUGGCAAUCCAGCUGUGAAAUCUGUCACCCCACUCAUCACCAGGUUAAUUCAGCUAGGUGGGGGUCUUUUCCCUCCCUCACCAUUCCAUGUGCACCCCUCCCAAAGCUGCACACUGUCAAAAAGGAUGAAAGGAUGACCUUUCCCAAUAGAGGAGGACAAUUCUUUAGUCAAAGGUAUAUGAAUGGCUGCAUUCCCCAGCUAGACUCUCCAAACAAGCUCUCAAGGUCUCACAAGAUGGUAGGUAGCUGACAUCCCCCGAAGCAAGUCUUUCAGGAGAA